CCCUCAAACCUCAAUUUGCAGUCUCUCAUCUUCAAAUACAAGAAAAUGGGGUUAAAGCUUCCUUUUUCAUUAACAAGCUUCUAGCUUCUCUUUCUCUCUCUUUCCAAAUGACAGUCGCGUAACUCUUACACUUCCCUCUCUAAAUCUAACGCCGCCCAUGGACCCAAAUCCACCACCGCAACAACCACCCUCCAAAACCCUACUUUCCUCCUCCGUUGCUCGUAUUGACAACUUCACGAAAAGAAA
rnacentral:misc_RNA from 1 species